GAAAAAAUGUCAACUCAUUUGGAAAUCAUUUGUCAAAAUAUAAAUCGAUACUUGUUUCGAAGAAUGAGUGGAAGGAAUACACAAAUCGAACAAUCGAAAAAACAAAAAAUUACAUAAUCAUGCCCAAAAUACACACCAGUCAAGAACAAAAGGAAAUGUUCCGCCUUGCCACCUUAUCGAUAUUCAAAAAUCGUAUUCCAAAAAGGAGAUAGAUUGAGGAGGAGAGGCGAAGGAAACACAACUUUAAACAAGUCAAAAUUAAAAUAUGAUAAACGCAAUCUUUUCUCACAUGGCUGAGCAGGGGAGGGACCGGGGAGGGGAAGAGCCCAAGACCCGCUGUCAAACAGCACAAAAAAGUGACGUGAGCCAAGCGCUCCCCAAAAGAUGCUGCUGGAGAGCAGCCUGCCGAUGACGAAGAUGAUGAUGCACACACACACACUGGCACACUCGCACACCCAGGCAAUAGUCGAGACAGAGUCCCACACCCAGACAGAAGAUGAUACCCAAAAAAGUGUUGGGUUUUAUUGGCCAACGGCCAUUUGAUGCCCCCAAAUAACAGCAAUGGAUAUGGAUGACACUGACCCACAAAACGGGCGGGCGGGUUGUCGUCUGGUUGGUCAGCAUAAAGCAAAAGCCAAGAGUAAGAACCAAGCCCAUAUUUAAUGGACAAGGGUACAUAUGUAUGGAUGGGUUAAAGAUUGGCCAUCAUAAAGUUUACCUAAUAAAAAGGACAAGAAAUUCUCUGGAAAUAUACUAAAAUAGCUUGACGACUAAAUAUACUAAAUAGAAAUAACUGAGAUUUGAAAAAUAAUGUAAGAAAAGUAACUUUAA